UAAAAUCCAUGGCAGAGCACCCCAUUCUGGGUGAGGGGGUUGCCACAAGCAGGCCAGUCACUGUUUGUCUCUGCAGGGGGAGUGUCAAGUGUGACUCUGUUACAGCACUGUUCUUUGUCUUUAUUUUUAGGAAGCAAAGCCGGAUAUCAACAGUCAAGGUCAGGUGGGCAAGAUGAGCAGUGACCAGCAGAGAGAAGUAGCUAUUGCGCGGGUCUCAAUUUCUGGUGCAGCACUAAGCAUCCAUUCUUGUUUGUGUGCUUUAGGCAAUCCACUCGGAGUAUGCCAAGCCCCGUCACCAACCGGCCGAUAGCCUGGGUUUGCUGCUCUUCUGAAGUCUUUGGAAGUAUUACAGGACUUGGUGAUGGAGCCUUUGCUUUUUCUAUUCAGAGGUGUCACCCAGGUAGCCUUUGGCCACAGCCAAGGAGUUGCGGCAUACCCUGCAACGACAGCAUCGGCCUCUGAGCGUGGCUGAAGACUGCAGCCCAAGGAGCUGGGCGUUCUUAGGAGAUGCUGACUAGAAGACAACAGCCUGGUCACAGCAGGGACUUCCCAGCCGGUGAGGUGGCCUUCUUUUGCACCUGACAUGAACUGGCAUCCCCAGAUGUCCGAGAGAUAAGUCAAGGGCUAUGAGGAGAUGAAAGUGGGGUGCUGGGUUGGGAUGCACGAGGAGGGGUUUUUGAGUCCGCUUUGGAGAGGGGGAUGUCCUUGAAGCGGCCCCUUAUCCCACAUAAUAGGGAAGUGUCACUUUGGACCACAGUGCCAAGGUGUGCAGGGCAGAGCAGUCCCGGUGUUUAUUGUCACUUGUCUAUUGUGCCUUAUGUGUGUCUGGGUGUCUCAUCUCUUUUACCAUAGCCUUUUGAGGGGCCUGUCAGAAACCUUGGCACCAUUCUUAGCAAUCCUGAUCUCUGCAUUCCUUGCCCUGGCAGCCAUGCCAUAGAACAUUUGACUUGGGUGCUCAGACAGGUAUCGGAAUCGCAUCUCUCUUUGGAAGCAUCCAGUCAGAUGUCUUUUCAGGUCUUGUGCUGAGCUGUAUGGACAGCUAUGCCCCGCCUGGAUCCAUUAUGGCGGAUUAGGACUUUUAAGAAUGUGAGGACAGGUAGAGGAUUCUGACUGUAGGAUUCUCAGGAGUUCAUCUUUGCAGUUUUUGGAUGAAAUCAUUCAGAUAGCAUCUUCUUCCUCCAAUGUUUUCUGAGCCGGUCAGCUUGCCAUCAGUGUCCCCUCGGUCAUCUCAUUUUGCAACCUCUCGGUCCUCGCAGUCAUCUUUCUUGCCACGAGAUUUCUGUCUAUGUUGUGUCCCCAUUGUUUGUCAAGUCCUGUCUGUCCUGCGUCAUGGGUUUCUGCACAUAUUUGUGCUGGAGCUGCUCUACCCUGUUGCGUAUCCUGGUGCAAUAGGACAAGUCCUGGGGACUUGGAAUUUGUAACGUGGGGUGGACUUUAGAUGGUAUUCCUAGAUGGACUCAAGAUGUUUGGAGUUGUGAAGUUAUCCUGCAGCCCUUUGACUUUUGUCCUAACUUCCUUUCAGAUGCAGAAGGAUAAAACCUGUGCCAGAGCGCCCCAUUCUGGGUCAGGGGGGUCCCCCAGGCAGGUCAGUCACUGUUUGAGUUUGCAGCGGAAGUGUAAAUGGUGACUGUUACAGCACUGUUCUUUGUCUUUCUUUUUAGGAAGUAAAUCUGGAUAUCAGCAGUCAAGGCAAUCGAUUCUGAGUAUGCCAAGCCCUUGUCACCAACAAGCUGAUGGACCGGGUUUGCUGCUCUUCUGAGCCUGCUGGAAGUAUUACAGGACUUGUUGAUGAAGCCCUGAAAUUUUCUAUUUAAAGGUGCCACCUGGAGGGCCUUUGGUAACUGCCAAGGAGUUGGGGCCUACCCUGUGACGAUGGUGUCAGCCUCCAAGCGCGGCCGAAGCGUGCAGUCCACGGAGCCGGGCGGUCUUAGGAGACGCUAAGAGACAGCAGCCCAGUGCCAGCACGAACUUCCCAGACAGCUUGUACAUGACAGGGAUUAGCAUUCCCAGAUGUCCAAGAG